rnacentral:rRNA from 1 species
UACGUAGGAGACGAGCGUUGUUCGGAAUUACUGGGCGUAAAGAGUGUGUAGGCGGUGCUGUAAGUCUGGUGUGAAAUCUCCCGGCUCAACUGGGAGGGUGCGCCGGAAACUGCAGUGCUUGAGGGUGGGAGAGGUAAGCGGAAUUCCUGGUGUAGCGGUGAAAUGCGUAGAUAUCAGGAGGAACACCUGCGGUGUAGACGGCUUUCUGGACCAUUGCUGACGCUGAGACACGAAAGCGUGGGUAGCAAACAGG